GCCUGGGUGGCUCAGUUGGUUAAGCAUCUGACUUCAGCUCAGGACAUGAUCUCACAGUGAGUUCAAGCCCCACAUCAGGCU
rnacentral:tRNA from 1 species